UGUUGAACGUACGGAAAUAUAGAAAAACUGAAUUGAUGUAGGAUGAUCCAGAGGCAAAGACGAUAAAAAAGUUGCAUUUAAUUUUUAGCAUGAACACAAACAACUACGGAUGCCAAAGAAAUUUGUUUAACAUAGUCAAUAUAGUAAACAGUGCACUAGUCUCUUGACAGUUCAGGAGGCCAGACGGGCUUAUUCAUUAAUAAAUUAUGUAUGACUUAUUCAUUAAUAAAUUAUGUGGGACUUACAUGCAUUUGGUUUAAAAAAACACACAAGCACUAACUAACAUUUAUACUUUUCCAAAUUGUGUCAUCCCAUUAAAACGUCGAUCGCUCCUCUGAAGAGAUUAGCUUUCACAAUAUUGCCAACCUUCGGAAGAUCUCUUAAUAAGAGGCUGCAUGACAGCAAAAGCUUUCGCUUUUCCUAGAUGGAGAGAGAUAAUUUUCAAGACCUCCCAGUCCAAAUGUAUAUGUAGAUUAUGUAGAAGCAGACUGCAAUAUGACAAUAUAUAUAAUGAGUGAAUCAGAAAUGGCGAUGUUGUCUGAAUUGUUUCUAUUUUGGUAGCAAGACACAUGUAUGGUUUAUACUUGUAUGCACGGCUGUGUCUUGUACACUUCAAAGUGAACAUCUCUUAAUAACUACCUACCGUAUGAUCAAUUGGGAAGAAGUACUGUAUGGCUUGCCUCAAAGUACAAAUCAUAGCACAUAUGGCAUAUCAUAACAUGACCUAAAAAUCUACCACCCUUGAAGAGUUGUAUUCCUCCUUAUAUAUAUAGAUAUGCCCUUCAUGAAGAGAGGUACCAAAACUAAUCUUAGAGGUUGGAAUAGGGUUGAGAAGUUUUUAUAUAUGUUCUUAAUAUUUUCUUCCAUUUUUUUAGAGUCAUAGGUAAAUGUAUUAUUUCAAUGGUAUAUAUAUGGAGGCAUAUACCUCAUGACUAACAUUGUGAGGUAUAUAUGCCUCUAUAUACCUCCCAAGUCCCAUGGAAAAAAAAGUCUAACCUUACCAAUUGUAUACUGUUCUUUCAAUCAGUUCCACCGAUUUUCUUUCUUUUUCCCCUUGAAUAGUGAGGAGGUACCUUUCCAAGGAGAUGAGUUAGCAUGCUGACAAGACAAUGCACAACUAUUAACAUCUCUCGUGUGCAGGGGAGAGAGAUAGAAAGAGCAAAACCAUAGUAGAGAGCUCAAGUGCUCAACAAAUGGGCCAGGCCUCGUCAACAUGUUGAGUCAUGUAUCCAUGGCUAAAAGUUCAUUCAAAUGAGUGGAAUGAUGGAAUGUGUCUGGUAUAGAGAGAGGAGGAAAAUUUGAAGUUUAGGGACAAAAUAUUUAACUGUUGCCAUAGGUGUGGAAUGGAAAUUUUUUUAAUAUGUAAUAA